GGUGACUUCAACGAGAAUUUCUACUCAUAUGAAAAGGAAGGUGGUGCACCACGACCAAUAAGUAUGAUGCAAAAUUUUAGGGAUGCUCUGGUGGCAUGCGAGUUGGAGGACAUGGGAUACAUCGGCGAUCAAUCCACUUGGCAUAGGCGAAGGUUGCGAGAACGAUUAGAUAGAGUGGUUUGUAAUGGGCAAUUCCAUGGUUUGUUUCCCUUUCUUGAUACAGAGGGUGAUGUGGUGGGCGACCAGUUUCGUACAAGGAUUAAACAGUUUGAAGCACGCUGGUUAAAAAAAGAGGAGGUAACACAGAUAGUGCCAGAAGCAUGGGAAAGGAGAGGACCGAUCCCCGAGCUUCUUUGGUGGAUCGGACAGCGGCUAUGCAUGCCAAGAUGCACGUUUGGGAUCGUGAGAUCCUUAAGGCACUCCAUAAACGCCUAA
rnacentral:rRNA from 1 species